rnacentral:rRNA from 1 species
AUUGAACGCUGGCGGCAGGCCUAACACAUGCAAGUCGAGCGAGCGGCGGACGGGUGAGUAAUGUAUGGGGGCUGCCCGAUAGAGGGGGAUAACUACUGGAAACGGUGGCUAAUACCGCAUACUAUCGGAUAACCCAGAUGGGAUUAGCUAGUAGGGGGGGUAAAGGCGCACCUAGGCGACGAUCUCUAGCUGGUCGGAGAGGAUGAAAAGCCAGCCUGUGACUGAGACACGGCCCAGACUCCUACGGAGGCAGCAGUGGGGAAUAUUGCACAAUGGGCGCAAGCCUGAGGCAGCCAUGCCGCGUGUAUUAAGAAGCCCUUAGGGUUGUAAAGUACUCUCAGCGGGGUGGCGUUACCCGCAGAAGACGCACCGGCUAACUCCGUGCCAGCAGCCGCGGUAAUUC